CUGGGAGAAGAGGGGGAACACAACAGACCCCUUCACGUUCAUAUCGCUCAUGGGGGUGAAGCAAGGACAGAAAUCCACAGUUUAACACUCUCCCUGUUAGGUCAGGAGAGGCCACUUUGGGAGACCCAUGCCAGGAGCUUGUUUGCAAGUUAAACAGAUUCUAAUGUCCAGGGCUGGGUGUAAGCACUGCUAAGAACACAGUCACUAAGCUGCCAGCUUUGGGUCGCCUUUGGUGAUCUAAAUGGCCACCCCUGACCCUCUAAAACCCCUGAGAUUCCAGAGAGUGAGCAGGCUUUAUGUACUUAUCCAUUCCCAUCACAACAACAGCCAACUGAUUCCAGAGUUACAGGCUCAAGGGAUGACACAGACAGAACUAAUCCUAAUUUGGGGCCUGAAGAUCCACAGCAGAACGAUCCAACUUUGUUCUUACACUAUUAAUUAACACCACGCUCUAGUUUCCAACAUACUUAAAUGAUGAAUAAGGUUAAAUUCCAGACAACGUUCUGUAC